rnacentral:lncRNA from 1 species
AUGGAUAGAGGAGGACAACCCACGUGGAGUGGGUGGAACCACACACCUGCUCUCAGGGCUGUGGGUUUGCACCCAGCCCAGAGCAUUUCUGGGAGACUAAAGGGCCCCCAGGAACCACCCGCGGGCUUUCUCAUCUCCUUGAGAAUGACCUUCAGAUUCCAGUGUCAGCUGCUCAGACCUGACACCUUGGGAAGGUGGUCUCUGCUGGGCGAUCUCAUGGGCUUAGGGACCCUCUGUUCCCAACAGGCCAGAGGUGACACGACCCUCCUGGGGUCUGUGGCAGGUGUAUGUGACCACAUCUGCCUGUACCUACGCUGUGCACGUGUGCGAGAAGGGAGAUGGGCGUGUACAGAAAUUGUCAGCUUCUGUGAGCUGGCAGGCAGCUCUUCCAGAGUCCCUCCCGCCACGGCCAUCCCUUGACCUCUGGUUGGGCAGCGUGCUUGCCCUGGACGUCACGUCAUCCAAGGGUCAAUGUGUGUAAGCCUGCUCCCCGCUGGAACGUGAGCUGCAGAAAGGCCACCGCUGACAAUCUGCUGCUAGAAAAAGCACGGGGAGCGUGGCUGGUGCUCGGUAAACACGUGCCGGGCGGGCGAGUGGAAUGAAUGAACAAAUGAUCAUCACUUUUCAGUCACAACCGAGUUCUUGUCCGGGAGCAGCCCCGCCCAGCCCCGUCCUGCAGACUCAGGGUGUCCACUCUCUCCCCGUAACGUGGGGCCAAGUCAGGGUCUCAGUGGGGACCCUGCGGUGCCCACCAAACUCAGCACCCUGGUGAAGGCCCGUCCAC